CGUCAUUCGGAUCGGACGGGCAGUGGAGUUAAGUACAUAGUUUCGACGCGUCAAAGUAAAAAUACAAAAUUGUGUUGUUUUUGGUGCUGAUGCGAGACAAGAAUCGCUUCUGCAAUGAGUUUGUAAACAGAACGCCAUUCUGAACACCGACUCUGAUCGGACGGACGACAGUGGCGUUGCGUCGAAGUGAAAAUACGAAAUUGUGUUGUUUUUGGUGCUGAUACGAGACAAGAAUCACUUCUGCAAUAAGGCGACGAUGCCGCCGCAGCCACGGCCACUAACACCGACUCCCCGUGUUAGGUUGACCGAGGUCAACAAGGUAUAAUGCCGUUACGAGGUUGCAGCCGAAUUGCACGUGGACGACCGUCAACGACUUUAUGAGUUGUUAAGUGAGCCUGUACAGACCGCAAAACGAACAAGCAGGCCAUCGAUAAAGCCAAAAUGAGGCACCGAAAUUUCCUGUCCCUACUCGUGCAGAUGUGUCGACGAAUCACAGUGAAUUAUCUAGGAUCAAACAAAAUUAAAAUAGAAAAAUAACACCUUGUGUAUCUUA